GGACUCUUUCCUUCAACUGUUCAUCAUUUGUCUCCAGUGUGAAAUGUUGCAAUACAUCACCCAGAGUAGCUCCUUGUCACGUCUAGAGACAUAACUGAUUUCUGGGUGUUUCUUGUUCUCCUUCCAUUCACGGACACUGAUCGGGAUCCUAUCCCGGACAAGGUACCCUAAGUAGUAGACGAAGGCCCUUGAAUGGGGUCCAAGUGGCUUGCCUGUUGCUUUCUCGAAUUCUGAGAUUACUAACCGACCCUCCAUAGGCUUCUUUGGGCCUCGUACUCUCCGGCUGGUCCCCGUGGUUGUCGUCGAGCCAGAGGGCUAUGUAGAAAGAAACAAGACAAUUUAAUACAAGAUAUUAUUUCGAAUUAUAUCUAUAAAAACAAAGGAGACUGCCAUAUUACAGACCUGCUGGCCAGCAUUAUCUUGCUUAUUCGGAUCGACCAAAUACUGAGAGCAGUCAUCGAUGCCCUCAGGGUUCUCAUCGCCUUCGCGAUCGUCGUGAUAAACUUCUUCAUUGGGACCGCAGAUCAGGUUCAUCAUUUUCUCUUCGUGUUCUCUCGGGUCUGCCAUUUCUGCAGAAAUAUGUGACACAUGACUACUAGCACUACUGUGUAUACCUGACAAGAAAACAAUAUAUAAAACUAGGGUUUAGGGUUUAGGGCUUAGGGCUUAGGUCUUAGGGCUUAGGGUUAGGGUUUAGAGUAUAUCAUUUGCUAACAAUUAAAUAUAUCAUAAUUGUACCACUAAUUUAUACCACUAAUUGUACCACUAAUUAUAGCACUAAUUGUACCACUAAUAGUAAGUGGACAUUACUAAAUACACCAUAGAACAUCACUAAAUAAAUUAUAGAAUAUCACAUCGCAUAUAUAUUGUGUGAACAUCACUAAAUACAUCACAGAACACUAUAUGUAUACUAUGUGAACAUCGCUAAAAUAUGUUAUAGAACAUCAAAUAUAUAUUACGUGAAAAAAACUAAAUACACCAUAGAACAUCACUAAUUACAUUAAAAAACAUCGUAUAUAUAUUACGUGAAAAUAAAUAUGAAGUUGGUACUAUAAUAUAAAUGAAAAUAAAUAAAUAUAUAUGAAUUUGAGCAGAGGUAAUAUUUUAGAUUCAUAAGAAAUUGGUACUAUGAUAUACAUAAAAAUAAAUAAAUAUAUAAUGUAAUACAAAUAAUAACUAGAGCAAAGCAUAAGAAAAAAAAUAAAAACAUGUAACAAAGAAAAAAAUUUAAAGAACAUCGUAUAUAUAUUACGUGAACAUCACUAAAUACACUAUAGAACAUCACUAAUUGAUUUAAAGAAUAUCGGCCCGGUGUGUGUGUGGGCGCGCGCACGAGCGCAUCGGCCGGGGAUGAUCAAGUGUGUGUACAUGUGUGUGUAUGUGUGUGUUUUUUUUCAAUUAUACAUAUAUUAAGGUAUUGUUUAGUUCGCAAAAAUUUUGGUGUUUAGCUACUGUAGCACUUUCGUUUUUAUUUGAUAAAUAUUGUCCAAUCACGGAAUAACUAGGCUUAAAAGAUUUAUCUCACCAAUUACAGAUAAAUUGUGUAAUUAGUUUUUAUUUUCGUCUAUAUUUAAUAAUCUAUGCAUGCAACCAAAGAUUUAAUGUGACGGGAACUCUUAAAAAUUUUUGGGAACUAAACAAGGCCUAACUAACAUAUGUAAACACUUUUAUUAUUAUCUAAUUUUUCAUAUUUUUUUCUUUCCCUUUCUUCUAUAUAUAAGUUUUCACUUUUUUCUUUUCCUUUUUUCUUUAAUUUUUUCUUUCUUUUUCUUUCUUUUUUGCUUUAUUUUUUUCUUUCUAUGUCUUAGUUAGAGGCCAGCGCGCUCGCGGGGGGCUCGGCCGCCAUUGGGGGCGCGCGCGGCCGCGUGGCCGACAGCGUAAGGCGUGGGAUCCAGGGGCCCGCGCACCACUGCCCCCUGCCGGCGGGCAUUGUCGGGCGCCGAGGGCGCGCCCGCGCGUGGCGGCGGCAGGCGAGCUCGCGGGCUCGCGAGGCGGCGGGCGCGCGCAAACAAAGAGAGAGGGAGUAGAGGCGCGCGCAAACAAGAAAAAUAGAGGGAGUACGGCGGGGUUGUGCUCGAGGUGGCGCUCGGAGUUGGGUUGACAGCGGCGAGCAAGGACGACGACGACGGCGGCGCGACGUUGGACGAAGAAGACGGAGCGGCGGCGGUUAGGGCAAGAUCGACGAGGGCGCGGAGAAGAAGGAGAAAGAAGGGCUCUGCCCUUUAUAGGGCAGGGCACCUUUAGUCUCGGGCCGAGCCACAGCCCGGGACUAAAGGUGUUUCACCAAAUUAUAGCGCCAGUUCAGGCGCCAUAAUUUGGUUUUCCCUUUUUUAUUUUCCCUUUACAUUGUUAAAUGCAUUAUAAAUUAAACAAAUCUGAUAAAAUUGUUGAAAAAUAAACAUUAAUUUUAUUCUGCUCUACUCUUCAGUAUAAAAAUUCUUAACACAAUUGUUUUUCAAAUAUUUCAUAUUAUUCAAAAUAAAUGUUAUUCAUAAUGAAUAUUGUGAUAAUGCAAAAAUAUAAUGGCCAAUUAAAUUUUAAAAAAUUAUUGGCUUUAGACACAUACUUGGUUUUUGGGUCAUUUGGACGUUAAACUUAUGUUCCUUUAAUAAUAAUUAUACAAAUACGCGACAUUGAUUGUAUAAAUUUGAAAUUUAAAUUUUCAAAAGUUGUAAGAUGGAUUUUGGAACCCUGGAUGGCCUUAAAUAGAAAACUCAUGAAUAC
rnacentral:lncRNA from 1 species